UGCUAGAGGUGUUUGGGAUGAGAGAAUAGAAUUUUUUCAAAUGCUUGAAAGUGAUCUCUUCCCUCAUUCCAAACAUCAUCUAACACACAU
rnacentral:pre_miRNA from 1 species